AGUGAAGCGGCAACAGCUCAAAUUUGAAAUCUGGCUCUCGGGCCCGAGUUGUAAUUUGUAGAGGAUGCUUUUGAUGCGGUGCCUUCCGAGUUCCCUGGAACGGGACGCCAUAGAGGGUGAGAGCCCCGUCUGGUUGGAUGCCAAAUCUCUGUAAAGCUCCUUCGACGAGUCGAGUAGUUUGGGAAUGCUGCUCUAAAUGGGAGGUAUAUGUCUUCUAAAGCUAAAUACCGGCCAGAGACCGAUAGCGCACAAGUAGAGUGAUCGAAAGAUGAAAAGCACUUUGAAAAGAGAGUUAAAAAGUACGUGAAAUUGUUGAAAGGGAAGCGUUUAUGACCAGACUUGGGCUUGGUUAAUCAUCUGGGGUUCUCCCCAGUGCACUUUUCCAGUCCAGGCCAGCAUCAGUUUUCGCCGGGGGAUAAAGGCUUCGGGAAUGUGGCUCUCUCCGGGGAGUGUUAUAGCCCGUUGCGUAAUACCCUGGCGGGGACUGAGGUUCGCGCAUCUGCAAGGAUGCUGGCGUAAUGGUCAUCAACGACCCGUCUUGAAACACGGACCAAGGAGUCGUCUUCGUAUGCGAGUGUUCGGGUGUCAAACCCCUACGCGUAAUGAAAGUGAACGCAGGUGAGAGCUUCGGCGCAUCAUCGACCGAUCCUGAUGUUCUCGGAUGGAUUUGAGUAAGAGCAUACGGGGCCGGACCCGAAAGAAGGUGAACUAUGCCUGUGUAGGGUGAAGCCAGAGGAAACUCUGGUGGAGGCUCGCAGCGGUUCUGACGUGCAAAUCGAUCGUCAAA
rnacentral:misc_RNA from 1 species